CAAGAUUCGAAUUUGGAGAGCAUUGAAGUAGAAAGAUAAAGGCGAAGAAAGGAGACGAGGUGAAAAACAUCAAAAAGCUUUAAAGAGGUUAAUCGAGAAUAUUGCACUCGCCUUGGUUAAAAUAACAAGUGCUGUGACAAGGACAUAAAAGGACGACGGAAGAGAACCUCAACGUAAACAAGCCACCUAGACGCGAUUACGAACUCCAAAGGCCAAAAAUCAAUGAGGUCAUAGAGGCACUUCAGUGACAAGAGCUGCCGUACUGUGAUUUGUCAGCCAAAGGGCUUUGGAUUCGAUUCCUGAACGAAGCAUCACAUCGAUAGCGCUACAGAUCAAAGAGAUACCAAAGUGUCACAUUUUGCUCAUCACUAAGGAUUGAAGACUGUUGAACGAGAAAUUAACCAAGUGAAAGGAAACUGAACAACUAUAUGAAACCACUGGUGAUGCAUUGUACAGGAUAUAAAGAAACUUUAAUUAAGCAGAGUUGGAUAUUAUAGUUUGAUUCGUGGUAAAAGAAGACGAAGAAGAGAAGAGCACACUGAUCUGGGAAUAAACAGGAAUAUAUUUUAAAAAGCAGAAAUUCCCUCAAGAUAAGUAUCUUCGUUUAGAUUGUGUACUGAAAAAAAAUUCGUUAUAAGAUCUAUUCUCUAAAAGGAUUGUGGCAACAAUUGAAUUUAUUCGUGUUUGGCCUCCAAGAAAAGCCCAAUAGCCUGCAGCAAAAUUCUACGAAGUGGUCUCAGUCUCUCUGAGUGAUAUCAUAGAGAUCAUAGAGCAAGAUAUCAAAAACACCGUCUGAUUUAUCUACCUAGCUCUUGAGUUUCGAAGCCAAAAGGUACGUUUCACAGGAAAAAAUAUGAAUGAAACAAACAGUGGAAAUGUUGAUUCCAACGCUAGUUUCAGAUAUCCCGUUCCGAUACAGACAGCAGAAGCCAUCAUUUCUGCAACCUUCAUCUGCGUUCUCAUCAUCUUUACUCUGUUAGCGAACAUAUUCGUGUGCUUCGCUACUCUCCGUUUCGACUGCAUCCGUCCGCUUACUAACUACUUCAUCGUCAAUCUUUGUAUUGCUGACAUUCUAAUCGCGGUCAUCAGCAUGCCAGUGUACGUUUUGGUCCAGGUUUACGGCAACAACGCAAUUCAGAUACUUCUUGGGGGAAAAUUCCUAAGCUUUUGGGGAUGUAUGGAUAUAUUUUGUGGAACGGCAUCUAUCCUUAGUCUAAGUUGUAUAAGUGUUGACAGAUACUUAGCAAUAACCCGUCCAUUAAAGUACGUGCGUUGCAUGACUUGGAGAAGGGGGUUCGUCAUGAUUAUUGCUGUUUGGUGUUACGCGGGAACCGUAGCGUUUUUAAGGCAACCUAUGACUUACAACCAAAACCAAAGGAAAGUUUACGCCUUGUUUGUGUUCGCCGCAAGUUUCCUCCUCCCAUUAAUCGUCAUCGUGGUUUCCUACAGCAAGAUUUUCUGCGUUGCACAGAAGCACGCACGGGACAUUGUCAGAAGAUCGAGUAUUUCCCAGGAGGAAAAGUUCAAACGAGUCUCACGUGACCUUAAAGCUGCCAAGACCAUUUCCGUCGUGAUAGGAACAUUUGUGUGUUUUUGGGCUCCAUUCAUAGUGGUCAGUGUGUGCUACUCGUUUAAUGUGUGGGUGGACUUUAUCUUUGCUAACAUUGUUAAAUGGUUGGCAUACAUUAAUGCGUUGCUUAAUCCUCUGGUAUAUUCCUGUGUGGACAAGCAGCUACGAAGUCUGGUCAUUAAGAUCGUGGUCUGCAAAGGAAGACGUGAUGAAGAGGCCCAAAUGCCCUUGCGCGCAGUUUGAGUCGUGUUUCAAGGACAAGUGUGGUCCAUGUAUCGUGAUUCAAGUCAACAGAUUCACUGAUACUUGAGACAAUAACGAGUCAUACGUUAUUGCAUGCAAUAUCAUAGCGACAAAGGGCUUGGAAUAGAUGGGACGGUAUUUGUACCCGUUGAGUCUUUGAACACUCUUAAAACGGAGCACCAAUGGAGAGAGGAGGUAAAGUGCGCACCGUUAACUUCAGGAGAUAACCAGCCAACGUAGGUGAAGGAAUUAAGGACGUUAAACAUGAAUACUUUACCUUUGCCUGGAUGAUGCAUUCUGAUUGGCUGCCAAAAAUUUAUAUGUAACUUUAAUUGCUAAUAACUGAAUACAAUAUCCUUAUGCUUUACAAAUCGCUGCUGCUAUAUUAUGUCGCGUAGGAUGCAAUUGCAUCUCAAGAGAAGUAGCAUGCCAGUAUAGCAGCCGUCUGCAUGUAUUGCUAUGUUUCAAUCAACUGAUAAAACUCUUUGAAUCCCAUUCUCUGCUUCAAAUGGUAGCAAAUACUGACCAACAUUAGCUGUCAGCCACAAAGAAUCCUAUCGAAAGCUUGUGAUUCAGUUAAUGAACAUUCCACACGAGACAAGAAAUGACGUCAAGUGCCCCAGCCAUCCGCAAAAAAACUUCAUUUUCGUAUUACAAACAGGAUAUUAAUCAGAACGCAUGCGCUGUUUAUAAAAUGGUUUCAAGACGAAGGAAGUUGGAUGAUGUUUAUGGAUUUUAAGUACUUAAAAUCAAUCAAGCCUGCGGUCCUCAACUUGGAACCUUUCACUCAAGUAAAUUCGGAAAAGAACUAUUUUAGGAUUUUUUAAGUAAUGGCUCACUUACUUUAACAUUUAAUUCAAACAACGGGGUUGGGAUUUGUCUGUAUAGCAAUGAAAGGAGUUCGGGGGAGGGGAGGGAAGAGGGAUGAAAAUCACUCGAUCCCAGCCCCCGUCUCCAUUUGCCGAUUUUCCAGACGAAAUUUUGAAUUUGUUUGAGUUGUAUCUAUAUCCAUGCGUCCUCUCAUUUGUAAACAUUAAACAAAGAAUGAUACGAGGUCUGAAAUGGCAAAACAUUACGAUCAAGCUAAUUAGGUCUAUUGAUUUAAGCGAAAAUUAAAAAGGAAGUUAAAGUAGUUGUAAUAAAAAAACGCACAAAAACAUGCAAAACUUACCGAAUACGUGCAUUUAUUCCCCGAUCACGUGUUUUUGUGUCACGUCCUUCACGUGACGUGCUCUCGUCCAAUAGAAAGUGAGUUUGACCAGGAGAGGUCUACCAAUUUGUUCUUGUUUUCUUACAUUCAUAUAUUAACGUAUACAUGCAACACUUAAUUGCAAAAUCAAAGUGGAGUUCAAAACAUG
rnacentral:misc_RNA from 1 species